rnacentral:rRNA from 1 species
CCCGACUGCUAUUUGGGUGAGAAUAAGCCGUGCAAGUCGAAUGGGAUACCUAAAUUUCCCAUGGCAAACUGCUCAGUAACACAUGAUCAACUUACCCUAUAGAGAAAAAUAACCUCGGGAAACUGAGGAUAAUUUUUCGUAGUUGAAUAGGCUUGGAAAAGUUAUUCAAUAAAAAGGAUAAGAAAAAUGGUUUUUAUCUGCUAUAGGAUAGGAUCGUGGACGAUUAUGGUUGUUGGUGAGGUAACGGCUCACCAAGCCGAUAAUCGUUAGGGGCCGUGAGAGCGGGAGCCCCGAGAUGGGUACUGAGACAACGACCCAGGCCUUACGAGGCGCAGCAGGCGCGGAACCUCCGCAAUACACGAAAGUGUGACGGGGUUACCCAAAGUGUUCAAUUCUGAACUGUGGUAGGUGAGUAAUGUCCCCUACUAGAAAGGAGAGGGCAAGGCUGGUGCCAGCCGCCGCGGUAAAACCAGCUCUUCAAGUGGUCGGGAUAAUUAUUGGGCUUAAAGUGUCCGUAGCCGGUUUAGUAAGUUCCUGGUAAAAUCGGGUAGCUUAACUAUCUGUAUGCUAGGAAUACUGCUAUACUAGAGGGCGGGAGAGGUCUGAGGUACUACAGGGGUAGGGGUGAAAUCUUAUAAUCCUUGUAGGACCACCAGUGGCGAAGGCGUCAGACUGGAACGUGCCUGACGGUGAGGGACGAAAGCCAGGGGAGCAAACCGGAUUAGAUACCCGGGUAGUCCUGGCCGUAAACGAUGCAUACUAGGUGAUGGCACGGCCAUGAGCCGUGUCAGUGCCGUAGGGAAACCGUUAAGUGUGCCGCCUGGGAAGUACGGUCGCAAGACUAAAGCUUAAAGGAAUUGGCGGGGGAGCACCACAAGGGGUGAAGCCUGCGGUUC